ACUCCUACGGGAGGCAGCAGUAGGGGAAUCUUCCGCAAUGGACGGAAAAGUCUGACGGAGCAACGCCGCGUGAGUGAAGAAGGUUUUCGGAAUCGUAAAACUCUGUUGUAAGGGAAGAACAAGUACGUUAGUAACUGAACGUACCUUGACGGUACCUUACCAGAAAGCCACGGCUAACUACGUGCCAGCAGCCGCGGUAAUACGUAGGUGGCAAGCGUUAUCCGGGAAUUAUUGGGCGUAAAGCGCGCGUAGGCGGUCUCUUAAGUCUGAUGUGAAAGCCCCCGGCUCAACCGGGGAGGGUCAUUGGAAACUGGGAGACUUGAGUGCAGAAGAGGAGAGUGGAAUUCCAUGUGUAGCGGUGAAAUGCGCAGAGAUAUGGAGGAACACCAGUGGCG
rnacentral:rRNA from 1 species